UUAGUAUUCAGAGAAUGACCUGAACUUAGCUGUGUUAAGUUGCCUGCUCCACAGGAAACCACCUCUGUAACUGUUGCUUGCUGCUUUCUCUUUAGGCAACACCCAAAGCCACUGUCAGAUGUCAUGGAGAUGAGACCUCACAAGCCUACUCAACGUGAAGAUGAUGAGAAUGAAGACCUUUAUGAUGAUCUGCUUCCACUUAAAGAAUAAACCCUGAGGUAUCAUGAAGAAAUCCAUAUGCCCUGAAGUUACCAUCCUAGAGACAUCAUUUGGAGAGACUACAGUGCACAGAAGUAGAGAGGCCCAGCUGUGCCUGUCCCCAACUGAUGGAGUCUUCUCAGUGUCAGUCACCAGACAUUUGACUGCAGGUAACUGAAACUGCGGAAAGUGAAACUGCAGAUAAGAGGGACCACUGUAAAUAAGUGACAUGAAUGAUACUGCAAAGGACCAUAGCCUAACCAGCCAAGCAAACUGGAAGUACCUUUAGACUCACGCUUUGCCAAGCUCAGUUCCAGAAUCACAUGAUGAAAAGAAUGAUGGAAAGAAAAUGUUUGUGAUAUUAAAAUUAAGGAAAUUACUCCAACUCAGAGUUUCAUCCUAAACUGAGAGACCAACAUCAAAAGAAUCUUCUCAAGUUUCUGAGUGACGGCAAGAAACUAGACUACUGUUACCAAGGAACUUUUUAAAGCAAACUGCUUUUGCUGAUAUGAGGAGAAAGUUAAUUAAUAAGAAAAUACCUUAAAUGUGUUUUGAAGCUGUUAAAGGUGUGUAACAAUUACUCUGAAUUUAUUAUAGCACCAGUUAGAGACCCAGGAAAACUAUAAAAUUGCACAUCAGGGCAGAGCUGAGAGACGACAUCUGCUUUGGGAUUGAAAAAAAAAAAAAAAAAAAAAAAAACAGAAAGGGAACAAGAGAAAUAGCAAGUCAUUUAACAUUUGGAAUUCAGGACUCCAGACUCAUCUAUAGGACCAAACUGCUCUUGAAAUAUACUAGAUUUCCUUUAGCUCCAGAGGUUUUGCCUUCAUCAAAUGCCUGUAACACUCUUAUUGUCAAAAGGAAUAAGUGAUGGUGAACACUGUGCCAGAUAGGAGGUACCACACACAGGUUCAGCAAAAAGCAGAAGCAAGAGGUAUAUUUUUUGUUAGAUCUUAGUUCAUCCCUAUGUAACAGACAUUUCAGGGAAGGGAGGAGAAAAUAACAAAGCUACCUAUGAGCAAAGGUAAAUGGGAUUCCCUAUCCUUGUUUCCCAGUUUCGGUCAUGGUAUUGCUUAUCCAUUAUUAGUUAUCCACUGCUGGGUAACAAAUUACUCCCAAACUUAGCAGCUUCAAACAACAAUAAACAUGUAUUAUGUCACAUAGUUUGUUUCAGAACUUUGGGAGUGGCUUAGCUGAAUGGUUGUAGCUCCAGGUGCUUUUUGUGGUUGCAGUCAAGAAGUCAGCCCAUUCACACAGCUGCAGACAAAAGGACUCGGUUCCUUGCAGGCUGAGGCCUGAUUAGGCAGGGGGCCUGAGUGUCUCGCCACAUGGACCUCUCCAUAGGGCUGCUUUUCGUGGCAUGGCAGCUGACUCCCCUCAGAACAGAUGAUCAAAAGCAGCAAAAGAGAAGCCUCACAUGACUUUUGCCCUAGCCUUGGGAAUCACACUCUUCCAUUUCUACAAAAUCCUAUUGGUUACAUAGCAGCCCUAUCCAGUGUGGGAGGGAACUGUAUACAGGCAUGAAUACCAGGAGUGGAAAACCACUAGAGACUGGCUACCAUGGUCACUU
rnacentral:lncRNA from 1 species